rnacentral:lncRNA from 1 species
CUUCCUCAGGGCUGGCAUGCACAUCUCUGGAAGGAUCCUGGGCAGCUGUGGAGGGUUAAUGAAGACAAACAGGACUCAAGCAUGAAAGAAGAAGAGCUGAAACUCAGUGACAAAAUCCACAAAAUGUUAUGAAAGCAGCUGGACUCCUUCAUCUGUGAUACGCAGGGAUUCAGCACAGGAGCCCAGGAAUCUCUUUUGGUGGCUUUGAAGCCUUCUCCAUGCAGAAGUUCUCACCAUGAGGUUGUGCAGACAUCACUUGUUUUAUCACAUGAUGGAGACUCCUGCACAUGCAGGGAAUUGCUGUUUGAAAGUCCACUUGUCUUGGGUCUGUACUACUCCAGCUUCCAAGUGUUCAGACCAAGAUUCUUCUUCUGCAGCUCCUUAUCUGAGCUUUUCUGCAGUUUCCUGA